GCCGACACCUCCAUCGCCAAACACCAUUCCGCCUUCGCCAUCGCUCACAAUCGCUAAACACCAUUUCCGCCUUCGCCGUCGACCAGUGGCAGUCUGAGACGGCGGUAACCCCCCUCGAUGCUGAGCAGCAGCGGCACCUCCCUUCCUUCCCCUCUCCCUCGGUUAGCGGCAACCAUGGUCGGACUCCGUCCAAAUGGCAGCAGAGACGUACAGAACAGUGGAGACCAGUUCGACCAUCGGUUCAGUGAUGCCAUCGCCCAGUUCUCUGACUGCCUCGCCUUCGUACAACGCGUAGCAGCAGCGAGCUCCGGCUACUAGCAGCGUCUGGUCGGCCACAUCUGGUUGCGACAAAAAAAAUUCGGCGAGCAGAUCUGCGACGGCGACGUACUGGGCGAGCAAGAAUCCGACGAGCUCCUAAUCCUAUUAUUUUCUCAGAUAAAGGGGGUUCAGGCAUCACUAGCAGAGAAAGAUGAGUACUACUCAGAGAAAGACUUAUAAUGCAGUUCAACAUUGCUUUCUAACAGUUGGUUCGGUGUACCCUGAGGAUUUGUUUUUGUUCCUUCUCAAUGUAGAUGAUUACAGAAAUGAAGAGGAUGAGGAUGAGGAGCUUGACGCUAUUAAUGUAGAUUGCUAUUUGUGAGGACUAUUAUAUUAUUAUUUAGACUUGAAUUGACUAUUAUUAGUUAUUAAAUGUGGAUGGAUGAUGUAAUGAUUUAUUAUUACUUGAAUUUAAUGUGAAUUGAUAAUGAUUUAGAAUUAUGUUAUUUUUUA